UACACGGGCCUCUCACUGCCGUGGCCUCUCCCGCCGCGGAGCACAGGCUCCGGACACGCAGGCCCAGAGGCCACGGCCCACGGGCCCAGCCGCUCCGCGGCACGCGGGAUCCUCCCGGACCGGGGCACGAACCCGCGCCCCCCGCAUCGGCAGGCGGACUCUCAACCACUGCGCCACCAGGGAAGCCCCUGCCUGGUAACUUUUUUAAUUUAAAAUUUAAAACUCAACAUUUUAAACACUAUAAUGUAGCAACGCUGGAAAUUAGAUGUCCACCCUUCCCCAGGGUUUGCUCCUGUGGCUGUUGGUUACUGUUGCUUGUUUUUUUUUUUUUCUGAAUUAAUUUUGUGAAGUCAGUAUUCGCGUACGGCCACUGAAAUCUCUGCUCAGUUAGUCUGGUGGUCAGCUCACAGAGACUUCCUAAAAUGCUUGGAACCAACACAUCUCCCAGUCUUUACUGAGGGGCUUUGUGCUAAGCAGAGGAGCAAGCACUCAGCUAAAUAGCCUACAUUUCUGCCUUAGUCGUUUAUUUCUUUCCCUCCCUCCCUCCCUUCCCUUCCUUCCAUUCCUUCCUUUCCUCCUUCCUUCCUCCCCCCUUCCCUCUCUCUCUUUCUUUCUUUCUUUCUUUUCUCACACAGCUGUUGGUUUUCAAGGCUAGGACAGAGUCGGGGAGGGGAGAACAGGAAUAGUGCACGUUAAGACACCACAAAGCUCAUUGUUCCCGCUGAGAUUCACCAGUUUUUCUUGAAUAAGCACUUGCUGGAUUGCUGCAAGACUGGUUAAUUUCUAGAGUUCUGAAAAAGUUUAUUCUGACCAUUUUGGCUAAUGUUCUCAUUGUUUUUAUGGAGAAGAGGAUUUUUGGAGGUUCUUACUCUGUCAUUUUUUCUGAUGUCAUCCAAAGUUAAUAUAUGUAGGGCACUUAAAAAAACAAUGUUUGGGGGACUUCCCUGGUGGUCCAGUGGUUGAGAAUCUGCCUUCCAAUGCAGGGGACACAGGUUGGAUCCCUGGUCGGGGAACUAAGAUCCCACAUGCUGCGGGGCAACUAAGCCCACGUGCCGCAACUACUGAGCCCUCGCGCCUCAAGUGGAGAGCCCGUGUGCCGCAAACUACAGAGCCCACGCGCUCUGGAGCCUGCAGGCCACAACUAGAGAGACCGCUUGCCACAGCGAAGAUCCCAUGUGCUGCAACUAAGCCCCAGCGCUGACAAAAAAUAAAUAAAUAAAUAAAAUAUUUAGGAAAAAAAACGUUUGGCAGAGACUGUGCUAUGUUUGUAUUUGCAGUUGUUGAUGUUGUUGUUAAUCAAUGAGAGAACACAAAUGAACUCUGUUCCUCCCUCUGGAAAAGAGUGAUCCAACAGAGCACAGGAAGGACGGGUGGGGAAGGAAAAAGAUGUCCACUUGCAGAGAAAGGAGGGAAGAAGGCAGGAAUACACUUCGGAAGCUUGGUGGGGGUAAGGCAGUGCUCACAAAUAUGGAAGGUAUGAUUCUCUCUGGACCAGGAUGAGACAGCGUGGAGACAGACUCUGCUCAGGCUCAAGGCCAAACCAUGCCGGCUCGUCCCCUGUGGCUGGUCCACUCGCCUCCCUCCCGCCUGUCUCUCCUUGUAUAGACUCACCUCACCUCUCUCUUCUUUUGCUCUGUAAACUCACCAGGCUUUAAAAGGCUGGUGCCAAGGACAGGCGGACAGGACCUUAACAGUGUGUUCCCGUGCAUGGUCCCUGGAGACUCUGCCCUGCCCUGCCCUGCCCUGCACAGGGGGGUUGGCUGGAUGAGGCCCCUGUUUAUGGGUGUGCUCAGCAGUGGCUGAGGGGCGUGGGCAUCCGGGCUAUGUGACACCCUUCAAGCACAUGUCCGUGCCUGUUAAAGCCCUCAGGCCUGGCACUUGGUGUUUCCAAGACAGCUGGGUGUUUAUGAGUCUUCCGGGUGUCCAGUAGGAGCCAGCAGGAGGGGAAGGAAGAGAAGGGAGCGAAGUGGCGGAAAGGGGUUUGGGCACCUUCCUCCCCACGUGGACCGCAAGAUCUUCGGGGACUUAGCAGUGACUGUCUUGAAGUGCCUGAAAAUGAACCAAUGAGGUUUACUGAAAGAAAGAAAAGAAACCGGAUCUUUGACUCCAGGGAAAACGUGGGUCUGUGUCUGAAGUGACCGCAGGGCCGCCCAGAUGUGGAGGCUGCACCUGCUACGUGCUGGAUGCCGGGGACUCCGACGUGGCAGAGGAUCUGCCGACUGUCCUCCUUCGCGGGCUCAGGGCUACACUGGAUCUCUCAGCGUCCUUUGCAGAUAGGUGGGCCACGGGAGCCAGCUGGCCAAUGGGAGGUGGGCGGAGGUGACAGGCGUCCUUCCUGGACAGGUGGGGGCACCUCUCCCUCUCCACGGCCUCCCCCGCCAGCCCAGGGGCUGGUGGAGCCACAAGACGGGCCCGGCCUGGGGCCCUGAAUCCUCUGUGGAGGAGAGCCAUCCCCAAAGAGGACGACCCACCUUGCCUCGAGGGCGGUAAGUCCACUUCGAUGUCGUCUCAGACAUUCUACGUUCUGGCGUGUUUCUGUUUCACUGAUAAUCAAGAAGAAGAGACAAGACAGGCGUGGUCUCUGCCGUCCUGGAGCUUUCCAGAUACACAGUCAUCCAGUGACGCCUGAGGACGGGGUCGGAAGGAGGCCAGAGUUUCAGAGAGCACGCCAUCCGAGGCUGCACAGGAGAGGUCAGGAGAGCUUCUCCUCGUCGGGAAGAUGGGAAAUGUCUUUACCACCUUUCAGAGCGGAAGCGGGGCCUAACCCUAACCCUAGCCCAUGCUGGUCAGAGCACUUUGAGAAGAUCCAUUGUGAUGACGUGGAGGGUAAGUCCCUAGUUUUAAACUUCUCGUUUCUCGGAGCUGCCUUCAGAGACUGUGGAGUUUGCGGGGGAGCCCCCAUGUCCUCUCCACGGCCAAGUGCUUGGGGCUCACAGCCUGCGCAGUUGCUUUGAGCCCCAGCGCCCGGGACGGGUUUCCCUCGUGCUCUUUUCUCCUUUCUAAAAUGAGCUCGUGGGUCACCGAAGGGCCUCGCUGUCCCGCAGGAGCUGUUUGGGGUCUUUGUUCGGCUG